rnacentral:tmRNA from 1 species
GGGGUUGUACUGGCUUCGACAGCGUAGAUCUUUGAACGUGUAAGCAUGUAGUGCGUUGGAUAAUUAGCACUUUAAUCUGAAUAUUCAAACUUCAAAUGGCAAUACUCAGUAUGCCAUGGCUGCCUAAUCAGUGAUUAAGUAGUCAUUAGGGCCGCUUGAGCAGGUUGGUCUGUUACCAUGCUCCGCCGCCGACUAAAAAGCAAAUACAGGCUGCUGCAACGAAAGGCUGUGACCGUUGCCUAAGACCAUCCAGCUAAGGAAAGAAUCGGUUUGUUGGUUUCCUGUUCUUUCCCGACAAAUAAUAAUCAAAUAAACAUGUAGAAAGCGUUUGGAGGAUAUGUUUGGACGGGGGUUCGACUCCCCCCAACUCCACUA